rnacentral:rRNA from 1 species
UACGAAGGGGGCUAGCGUUGCUCGGAAUCACUGGGCGUAAAGGGUGCGUAGGCGGGUUUUUAAGUCAGAGGUGAAAUCCUGGAGCUCAACUCCAGAACUGCCUUUGAUACUGAAAGUCUUGAGUAUGGGAGAGGUGAGUGGAACUGCGAGUGUAGAGGUGAAAUUCGUAGAUAUUCGCAAGAACACCAGUGGCGAAGGCGGCUCACUGGCCCAUUACUGACGCUGAGGCACGAAAGCGUGGGAAGCAAACAGGG